UCUGAUAGCUGACUGAGGAGGGACAUUACACAACGAAAUAUGAAGGCUUUGGCUUCGCGGCCGGCUGAAAUAUUUUUUUCACCCAUGUCUUUUGCGCACUUGUUGUUUCCUGGGCGGGUUCGCCCGCCACCAGGACCAAACCAUAAACCUUUUUUUUAAUGCAGUUGCAAUCAGCGUCAGUAAAAAAUAAUGUAAUUAUUACAACUUUCAACAACGGAUCUCUUGGUUCUGGCAUCGAUGAAGAACGCAGCGAAAUGCGAUACGUAGUGUGAAUUGCAGAAUUCAGUGAAUCAUCGAAUCUUUGAACGCACAUUGCGCCCUUUGGUAUUCCAAAGGGCAUGCCUGUUCGAGCGUCAUUUGUACCUUCAAGCUUUGCUUGGUGUUGGGCGUUUUUUGUCUCCCUCUUGCUGGGAGACUCGCCUUAAAACGAUUGGCAGCCGGCCUACUGGUUUCGGAGCGCAGCACAUAUUUUGCACUCUGUGUCAGGAGAAAAGGACGGUAAUCCAUCAAGACUCUACAAAUUUUAACUUUUGACCUCGGAUCAGGUAGGGAUACCCGCUGAACUUAAGCAUAUCAUAAACCCGAAGGAAA
rnacentral:rRNA from 1 species